rnacentral:rRNA from 1 species
UAGGGAAUCUUCCGCAAUGGACGCAAGUCUGACGGAGCAACGCCGCGUGAGUGAAGAAGGAUUUCGGUUCGUAAAACUCUGUUGUUAGAGAAGAACAGCGCAUAGAGUAACUGUUAUGCGUGUGACGGUAUCUAACCAGAAAGCCACGGCUAACUACGUGCCAGCAGCCGCGGUAAUACGUAGGUGGCAAGCGUUGUCCGGAUUUAUUGGGCGUAAAGCGAGCGCAGGCGGUCAAUUAAGUCUGAUGUGAAAGCCCCCGGCUCAACCGGGGGGGGUCAUUGGAAACUGGUUGACUGGAGUGCAGAAGAGGAGAGUGGAAUUCCAUGUGUAGCGGUGAAAUGCGUAGAUAUAUGGAGGAACGCCAGUGGCGAAGGCGACUCUCUGGUCUGUAACUGACGCUGAGGCUCGAAAGCGUGGGUAGCAAACAGG